rnacentral:tRNA from 1 species
GACCUUGUAGUGAAGUUCAUGGUGGGUUGCAAGCUCAUCGAUGUGCACAGGUGUGCGCCGGGGUCU